AUGAUCUUAGGGAGGAGAGCUGCCAAAGCUGACAUCGCUGACACCCAUCUUGAGGUGUUCCUGUCGAAGACAAGUUUGAGGUGUUGGUAUGGAGAUCUCGGAUCCUGCCUUGCUGUGAUUAUGUUUUUACUUACGAGAAACAGAAGCACCAUCGUAGCAUCAGCAAGAAGAAUCACCUGGCACAUAAGAAACAUCAGCAUGAAUGUUAAUUUGGCCAACAGAGGUGCACGGAGGAGUUAUCUGUAUCCCCAUCCUUAUUCUAGAUGUAAUUCGAACCUUUUUGCUAAUAUGCACUUUUUAAACGGGAUAUGUAAAGGGCAGUCACUUCCUAUUGCUACAUUGAGUUGUGUAUGCCAUGCAAAUCUCAUGAAGGGCACAUCACGCUUCUGA
rnacentral:rRNA from 1 species